rnacentral:rRNA from 1 species
CUGGAACGCGCCCCAGGCGCACCCAGAAACCCUUUGUGAACUUAUACCUUACUGUUGCCUCGGCGCUAGCUGGUCCUUCGGGGCCCCUCACCCUCGGGUGUUGAGACAGCCCGCCGGCGGCCAACCUAACUCUUGUUUUUACACUGAAACUCUGAGAAUAAAACAUAAAUGAAUCAAAACUUUCAACAACGGAUCUCUUGGUUCUGGCAUCGAUGAAGAACGCAGCGAAAUGCGAUAAGUAAUGUGAAUUGCAGAAUUCAGUGAAUCAUCGAAUCUUUGAACGCACAUUGCGCCCUCUGGUAUUCCGGAGGGCAUGCCUGUUCGAGCGUCAUUUCAACCCUCAAGCCUGGCUUGGUGAUGGGGCACUGCCUGUAAAAGGGCAGGCCCUGAAAUUCAGUGGCGAGCUCGCCAGGACCCCGAGCGCAGUAGUUAAACCCUCGCUUUGGAAGGCCCUGGCGGUGCCCUGCCGUUAAACCCCCAACUUCUGAAAAU